rnacentral:rRNA from 1 species
ACAGAUUACAUCUUAGAGAUUAUUAAUAAUUUAAUAAAUUUGGCGGUAUUAUGGCCUAACUAGAGGAAUCUGUCCUUUAAAGGAUAAAACACCUAAUUAUUUUCUUCACUUAAUCAGUUAGCAUAUCGCCGUUGUUAGAUAAUUAUAUUAAUAAAUCGUCUUAACUUUUUGUAAAGACUUCAGGUCAAGAUACUACUUAUAAUGGAGUUUGAGAUGGAUUACAAUCUAAAAAUAGAUACGGAAAAUUCUUUAUUUAAAGGUGGAUUUAGUUGUAAUAAUAAAAUCAUGCUAUUCUGAAUCAGGUCUAUAAUAUGU